rnacentral:lncRNA from 1 species
GAAAAACAUCCUAAUAUAAUUCAAACACUAAAACUGAUGACACCACUUUGAAUGCUCUGUGGGAAGGAGUGUAAGUGUGACCCUGACCAUUACAUACCCUAACGAUUCCAGAACUGAUUACCUACUUUGUACACAGACCGUUCCUUCAUUUUUUCCUCCACAGGGACUUGCAUAGGGGCAUUUCCCUGUUCUGUGAUACAGACAGGAAUGCCAGGCUGAGCUCAUGGCUGCUGCCUUAACGCUUUGGUGGAAGAGAUCGGCUAGCCUGAGAUUUGGCCAUUGUUAUGACAAUUAAAAAUAUCUCCCAACAUCACCAAGCAUUUCCAUUUGAGAACCACUGGGAUAGAAGUACCAAGUUUACCCAGACUUAUAGAAUGUGUCCUUCCAGGAUCCAGACUGAGAGCUUGUGAUGCUUAACCCAUUGUUAGCUAGUUUUGUUUACCUGGUAAGCCAAAUAUUGCAAUCAGCUUUUUAGCUACUUUCUAUCACUGCUUAGCUGAGAAAGACAAAUGCCUCAUGCUGUACACUUGGGUAUCCUUUUGGAGUCACCUCACUGGGCUUUUCUUAUCUCUGCGAUUUUAGCCCUAAAGCUGUGUUGACCUUUCUUCUCCAAACUCCCUCUGCUAACUUUUCUCCAUCAUAACCGCUUUAUGCUAAACUCAGUUUCUUGUGCAGCAAAACUUCAAUAUUACUAAAUGGCUCAAGGGCAAAAGUGUUGCAUAGAAAUUUAACCCACUUUAAUGAGCUUCCCUUUAUAUGGGGUGGGUCCUGUCCCCUCAAUUCCUGGCUGCCUCAGCUCUCUAAUACCCAUAAACAUCUUUAAAAACACUAUUCAGAUUUCUAGUUGUCCUUAAAGAAAAUGCUAUUUUCUAUAAAUUGAAGUGGAACUCUCUAGAUGAGUAGU